rnacentral:tRNA from 1 species
GGAGGUGUAGCUCAGGGGCAGAGCACGUGUUUAGCAUGCAGGAAGUCCUGGGUUUAAUCCCCAGUACCUCCA